GGAACCAAGUCCCAGAGCCCAGGUUUCAGCCUGCGGCAGUCCCAUUCCAGAGCCCAAGUUCUUAUGCAUGAGCUGAGUUUAUGGAGAAAAAAGAAAAGGCUGAAGCAGAGAUCUGACUUGGGCCUCAGCCGCAGGAGGAGUGAAGCCUGUAAACGGUGGAUUGUCCCCCACAGCCGCUUCCAGACAGGAUGCUGCUAAAACACGUGAUAACUAGCCCUUCACCAAUACAACGGCACCCUCCUGUGCUUGUUUGGAUUUCAAUAACCUUUCUAAUGUAAAAGCAGUUAACCAUGAUAUAGUUUUGAGAAAAAAAAUACCAUUUUAAAGCCCUUCCAACUCCCAUACAUUUUCAUUUUUCUGGGCUACUCUGUCAGUUUAAGUUUUACACAAUUGUCAGCCCAGCAAAGACAUCCUCAUUUUUUUUUUCCAACUUUCAAGUAGCCAGGUUUGGUAGCUCACACCUGGAAUCCCAGCACUUUGGGAAGCUAAGGCUGGAGGACGGCUUCAGCACCGGAGUUCAAAGCCCUGGAGCUCGUCAUCAGAUAACAUAGAUUAUUACCUGCUUUUCACGAUAAAGAUGGAGUGCAAUGGAGCCUCUUCACUCUGUGCAUGGGUGAAAUUUCCUGAUACUGAAUUGCAGAAGCAUGAUUACCAGCUCACUUUCUUGUCUCUUUACACAGUGCCAGUUCUUCAGUUUACACAAAAGCACAUUUCACCUCCACUUUACAAGCACAGAUGUACACACGUAUGUACACACAUGCAUAUAUGUGGGUCUGUAUAAACACACAGAUGCACAUAUGCUUAGACACUACACAUACAGAUGUAUUUAUUCCUACAUAGUUCUCCAGUACACCCUGCAGGUCAAGGACACUGCCUGCCCCACCCUCAGUCCCACUCAAAGGUCAGCCUUUAAGCAGCUGUGCCUCAGUCCCGGUGUCCACUGGCCAGUUGAUUGAACAACCAGUGAAUCCAGAGACCAACCUUUGACCUGUGACGUCAUCUGCCACAAACAGGAGCGUGGACAAGAGCUGCUAAGACAGGGAGGCUGUGAGCUGCAGGCACUGACAGCAAGGAGGCCCAGAGAGAAGCCACUGGGCAGAGCUUGGUUCACGAAGCAGAAACUAAGGCCCAGAGGGAGCAGCAACUGUUCAGGGUCCCAGAGCAAGUGCUCCAGGAACACAGUGAGGAUGUGAUCUGUUUUCAAUUAAAGUCACAGCGCUCUAGGGGAGCACAGUCCACCUAGGGAGGAAAGUCGGAGGCCAGCAGCAAACGCCUCCAAGCGCUGGAGAAAUGCAUUCCUGCGGUAACCGACGUCCCCUGGGGAACCCGGUGGGACCCCCCGGGGGGGCCCCCCCCCCCCC